rnacentral:rRNA from 1 species
UACGUAGGGGGCUAGCGUUGUCCGGAUUUAUUGGGCGUAAAGAGCGUGUAGGCGGCCAGGUAGGUCCGUUGUGAAAACUCGAGGCUCAACCUCGAGACGUCGGCGGAAACCCUCUGGCUAGAGUCCGGAAGAGGAGAGUGGAAUUCCUGGUGUAGCGGUGAAAUGCGCAGAUAUCAGGAGGAACACCAAUUGCGAAGGCAGCUCGCUGGGACGUUACUGACGCUGAGACGCGAAAGCGUGGGGAGCAAACAGG